rnacentral:sRNA from 1 species
GAAAUGAGGAUGGAAGAGUGUGCAGAGCCUGAGACACUUCAAUGCCAGGUCCAGAAGCUUGCAGUUUCUCUUCAAGGCCAUAAGGAGCCAUAGAAGGUUAUAGAGCAGGGGAGUGCAGCACCAUCAGAGCUGCAAUUGAGCUCCAGGCCUCAGGUUUAUAGCAGACAAAGGCACCCCUAAUUCAAGGGGUGAAUCAGGCAUGGUCUCUACCCUUGCAGAGAGUUUGGGGACCUGGGCCCAUGGGGGACUGGGAAGCUGCUUCCUCACCCCAGUUUCCUCAUCAGCAAAAUGGACCCAGGUAUGUGAUGUAGCAUUUCCUGACCCAAGGGACCCAACAAACAGCUGCGAUAGGAUUUUGGAGGGACCUGUACCCGCACUUCCACCUUCAAAAGUUGUGCAUUUUUUUCAUGGUUUAAUGACUUCACCUUCUUUUGGACUUUUAUAUUUGAAAAAUUUCAAACUUAUAGAAAAGUAGACAGAAUAGUAUGAAUACCCAUGUACCUAUUACCCAGAUUUAAUAAAUCUUAACAUUUUGUCAUGCUUCA